rnacentral:lncRNA from 1 species
UGUUCCCUUCUUCAAAUCUUCUCUCCCAUACUCUAAUCUUCCGUUUUUUCUUCUUCACAUGAUUGUUCCACUCACUUCCUCAACCCACUAGCACCAUAACAUUCACUCCUAGUUUCUCUUCGAUCCAUCUCCUCUCUCCUUUUUUUUUGGCAGAGAAUGGAGGCUAGGAAAGCAGCUACCUUAAAUUUAUUGAAGCUUAAAGUAUUU